rnacentral:rRNA from 1 species
AACGAACGCUGGCGGCAUGCCUAACACAUGCAAGUCGAACGAGACCUUCGGGUCUAGUGGCGCACGGGUGCGUAACGCGUGGGAACCUGCCUUUAGGUUCGGAAUAACUCAGAGAAAUUUGAGCUAAUACCGGAUAAUGUCUUCGGACCAAAGAUUUAUCGCCUUUAGAUGGGCCCGCGUAAGAUUAGCUAGUUGGUGGGGUAAAGGCCUACCAAGGCGACGAUCUUUAGCUGGUCUGAGAGGAUGAUCAGCCACACUGGGACUGAGACACGGCCCAGACUCCUACGGGAGGCAGCAGUGGGAAUAUUGGACAAUGGGCGAAAGCCUGAUCCAGCAAUGCCGCGUGAGUGAUGAAGGCCUUCGGGUUGUAAAACUCUUUCGCGCACGACGAUAAUGACGGUAGUGCGAGAAGAAGCUCCGGCUAACUUCGUGCCAGCAGCCGCGGUAAU